GGAAGAAGAAGAGGAGGAGGAAGAGGAGGUGGUAGGCACAGCAACAGCAGCUAGGUGUGUGCACUUGAAAUUCCAGUACCAGAGAGGCAAAGAGGGGAUGCCUGGGACUCACUUGAUGAGCCAGAGAGGCAAAGAGGGGAUGCCUGGGGCUCACUUGGUGAGCUAGUACCCCGUGGCAGACUCUGCUGCCAAAAACAAGGUUUGGCGAUCUUAAUCAACAGUACCUGAGGUUGACCUUCUGUCCUUAGAACACACAGGCACAUGCCCGUGCACCCGAACAUGCACCCACAAGCACACACAGGUACAUGUAUGAACACACACCAGCAUACAUACAUGAAUACACACAGGACAUACAUGAACACAUAAGUGUGUGCAUACACAAACACAUGCCCCACAUGUACACAUCUAUUUUAAGGGAUAAGGGUAGAUAGAGUACUUGCCUAGCAGCCUCAGAGUCCUGUGUUCAAUCCCAACACCAAACCCAGUAUGAUCCAGAAAGGGAAAACGAAUUAUCUUGGUUGUUUUGAAAAGGGGUGUCCCCUAUCCCCAGCUGGAAACAACCCAAACGUUCCGCUUCGGGGCUUGAGAGGGCGCCUGGACACCAAGUGUUCAAAUGGAUAAGUGUGUGGUGUCUCCACGCAGAGGAAAACCCCACUGACACACAGGGAAGGAUGGAGACACAGUCCAGCAAGGAUUCAAGACUGCAUGCUGCCCAGGCCGGAGUCCAUUUUGACUUCUU
rnacentral:lncRNA from 1 species